rnacentral:rRNA from 1 species
UACGUAGGUGGCGAGCGUUGUCCGGAAUUACUGGGCGCAAAGCGUGCGCAGGCGGUUGUGCAAGACCGAUGUGAAAUCCCCGGGCUUAACCUGGGAAUGGCAUUGGUGACUGCACGGCUAGAGUGUGUCAGAGGGGGGUAGAAUUCCACGUGUAGCAGUGAAAUGCGUAGAGAUGUGGAGGAAUACCGAUGGCGAAGGCAGCCCCCUGGGAUAACACUGACGCUCAUGCACGAAAGCGUGGGGAGCAAACAGG